rnacentral:rRNA from 1 species
UACGGGGGGAGCAAGCGUUGUUCGGAUUUACUGGGCGUAAAGGGCGCGUAGGCGGCCAGCACAGGUCAGUUGUGGAAUCUCCGAGCUUAACUCGGAACGGUCAACUGAUACUGUGCGGCUAGAGUGCGGAAGGGGCAACUGGAAUUUACGGUGUAGCAGUGAAAUGCGUAGAUAUCGUAAGGAAGACCAGUGGCGAAGGCGAGUUCCUGGACAGUUACUGACGCUGAGGCACGAAGGCCAGGGGAGCAAACGGG